rnacentral:rRNA from 1 species
UACGGAGGGAGCUAGCGUUGUUCGGAAUUACUGGGCGUAAAGCGCACGUAGGCGGCUUUGUAAGUUAGAGGUGAAAGCCCGGGGCUCAACUCCGGAACUGCCUUUAAGACUGCAUCGCUUGAAUCCAGGAGAGGUGAGUGGAAUUCCGAGUGUAGAGGUGAAAUUCGUAGAUAUUCGCAGGAACACCAGUGGCGAAGGCGGCUUACUGGUCCAUUACUGACGCUGAGGUGCGAAAGCGUGGGGAGCAAACAGG